GACGAACGCUGGCGGCGUGCUUAACACAUGCAAGUCGAACGGAAAGGCCCUGCUUGCAGGGUACUCGAGUGGCGAACGGGUGAGUAACACGUGGGUGAUCUGCCCUGCACUUCGGGAUAAGCCUGGGAAACUGGGUCUAAUACCGGAUAGGAGCCAUUUUUAGUGUGAUGGUUGGAAAGUUUUUUUCGGUGUAGGAUGAGCUCGCGGCCUAUCAGCUUGUUGGUGGGGUAAUGGCCUACCAAGGCGGCGACGGGUAGCCGGCCUGAGAGGGUGGACGGCCACAUUGGGACUGAGAUACGGCCCAGACUCCUACGGGAGGCAGCAGGGGGGAAUAUUGCACAAGGGGCGCAAGCCUGAUGCAGCGACGCCGCGUGGGGGAUGACGGCCUUCGGGUUGUAAACUCCUUUCGCUAGGGACGAAGCUUUUUGUGACGGUACCUAGAUAAGAAGCACCGGCUAACUACGUG
rnacentral:rRNA from 1 species